CAGAUACUCGUAGACAAAACGAUGCUUGGUUCUGUCCUAACAGCAGUCCAGGAAGUGGAAACCGCCGGAAGCAGCCUGGGGGCAAGUGAGCUUGCACCUGGCUGUGAUGCCUCCCCACCUGGGCUCAAAGCCCCAGUGCGCGGGUGGAUCCCUGGGGCUCCUGCUAGCAGGGAGGAAGAUUCAAAUAAUGAUCUAUGAAGAGACAGAAAUUCGAGUUACGGGGCUGUCACUUGAAGACUCUGCUGCUUGGCUUCUUAGCACGGUGUCGGUUAUUUAGCGGAAAGAACCAGUCUCUGGAUUAUUUCCAGGCCAUCCAGACAGCUAUUUCAACUGGAACAAGUGACCUUUGGAACAGACUAGAACUUAGCAGCCUGGCCAGACAGAGAGGAGGGAGUAGUCAACUGGGAAGGGCCCCAACAUGUUCUUGUGAAAUGCCAUUUGAAGUAAGAGGACAAUAAAAAUUAAGGACAAGUAAAUGAGCUUAAAAAUAUCUAAAACCAAUGAAAACUGUGUGACCACAAUAUGGGAUUCAAGGAAAGAUACAGUAGGAGUCUUUAGCUAUCAUUCUUUAAUACACAUGCUCAACCAAUAUGGUUCUCCACUCCCUUCAGUACAAGGAAUGUCUCUUAAUUAUGUAAUAUUCACCUUUGAAUCUCCAUAGUCUUGGAAAACUCAGUAAUCAUCUGUUUUCCCUCCCUCAUUGGCACCAAAUUUCCUCAGUCUAUGAUUCUACAGUGGUCGUUAGACGCUCUUAGAGAAUGGUCAAGACCUUUAUUUAGCAAGUUAUUGCUGCAGGGAGAUAAAAGUUAAAAUAAUAGUAAAGAGUUCAUGUGAGAGAACAAAGUGAUUAUCUUCUAACAUUGGGUUGGAAGGCAUGCUCUCCUUUUCUUUCACAGAGAGCACAGGAAGUUUUAGCUCAGGUCAUUAGCAAGAAGUAUGCUAAAGAAGCACGCAGCCUUUACUGAAUGCUCAUGGACAGAAUGUUGCGCUUGGCACCCCAGGAUAU